AAAAACCCGUUUCUUUAUUCUAUUCUUUUUAUUUUUAUAUUUUUAAACCUCGGUGGGAAUUUCCAUUUUGGCGAAGGAAAAAAUUCCCCGACCCCCGAAAGUGAACGACAUUUUUUCGCACGUGAGUUCGUGAAUAUAUAAAAAGGGCUGUUCGUUCACGGUGUACCAAUCAUUCCCUCGCCGUCUAUCCACUGGAACAGUUACAGCAAUCACACCGAUGUGCAAAAUUUGUUAUACAUUCGUUCAAUCAAAAGGGAAUUAAUUUAUUCAAAUUUAACAAAACAAAAUGGAUUCCGUUAGCAAUGCCAGCAGCCAAGAGCAUUUCUCAAAGACCGGCUGUCUGAAACUAUUCAACAUUUUCAUCUAUUUCAAAUUGAGAAAAUCGACCAAAACCAUCAGCGCUAAAAAACCCAAAUGUUUUUCCUACAAUUUAUUGCAGAGGUCGUUCACUGGUCUUUUCUGAAAGUGGACCAAAACUUUUUCUGCAGCAACAAAACUACGUCGUACCUUGAAGAUUUUAUUAUUUGAAUUUCCACGUCCGUGACGUGAAUAUUUCUGUAAUUAUUGAUCUUGUCAAAUCCCGCUCAUUUGCAUACACAAUUAAUUGACUAAUAAAAUGAUUUAUUCCAAAA